AGCCCGUGGAUUACUUCCAUUUUGCAGAUGAGCAGCUGAGCCUCACAGAGUGCGGAAUGACUUGCCCAAGGCCACGCUGGGAGAAAGCGGAAAAGCUGAGGCUCUGCAGGGAAUAUGGGCUGGAAGACAGUCCCGCCUCAGGGCCACUGUCCAACACAGCAGCAUGCUCCCCUCUUGAGGACGGAGUUGAUUGGCGGUGGACUUGGGCACCAGGAAGCUUUGGCAGAGCUGCCCUGAAGGAGAUGCUUGAAAGGGAACAGGGUGCGUGAGGCUUAUUCAGCGUCAGGUCCUUCCAAGUUAUGAGUCCAGAGCCCGGUACCUAGCUGCUCAGGAACAA